ensembl:lncRNA
CUAAUGCAAAGGGCUUUUUAUUACAUUUUCUCAAACCUGUGUGGCACUGUUCAUUUUUCACAGUGGGGCUUGUAACAAUGUUUGGUCCUAUGUCAAUCAUUUUUCUGCACUUGAACCUGUCCUGUACAACAUUCAUGUUGUGAAACACAGAGUGCCACAAAGUGUUUAGUCAAAGACACAAGUUAUUGAGGAGAAUAAUACAAAAAAAGAGAACCCACUGAUGUCAAACAGACAUAACAUAACACAGACCUGAGAGGAGAGUCCGCCAGAAUCCAUUCCCAUCUUCUUCCACAACGUGACUUAAACGCAACAUCUACAAACCACCCGUGCCAAAUUAAACAGUGAGUCUCACAGUUACUCAAUCUUAAAUUGACCUUGUGCCGAGCUCAGGAAAAUUUGCACAGACCGUUUACACAACAGUAAGGGAAAAAACAAACCUAAAGCCACUGGCCAAGGACAAAGUCAUUUUAACAGUGACUAUUCCUAUAUACUCUAACAUACACACUGUCCCUCAUACUCAGUAAGCAAGGAGUGAAAAGAGACAGACCUAAAGGGAGAGAGAAAGACAUACAUACGGAGGGAGAUUAAGGAGAUACAGUACAUUUAAACAAUAGUUUCAUAGCACUAACUUGAAUCACCCUGCGUUGUCUAUAAAAACAGGUGGCGAACAGGGACCUGCAUCAGACUAGCUGAUUGUGGUACUAAACCUUUGCUGUAAUAUGUUCAUUAAGCUGAGUUAGGCAACGGUACACGUCUAAAUUCCUCCAGACAACGUACAGACAAUGUACAGACAACGCACAGACAACACACACAUACAGGACGUACAGGUACAGACAACGUACAGACAACACACACAUACAGGACGUACAGGUACAGACAACACACACAUACAGGACGUACAGGCACAGACAACACACACAUACAGGACGUACAGGUACAGACAACACACACAUACAGGACGUACAGGUACAGACAACACACACAUACAGGACGUACAGGUACAGACAACACACACAUACAGGACGUA